ACGUAGGGGGCAAGCGUUGCUCGGAAUUACUGGGCGUAAAGGGUGUGUAGGUGGCUGAUUAAGUUAAGGAUGAAAUCCCGAGGCUCAACUUCGGAACUGUCCUUGAUACUGGUCAGCUUGAGGCUAGUAAAGGAGAGCGGAAUUCCCGGUGUAGCGGUGAAAUGCGUAGAUAUCAGGAGGAACACCAGAGGCGUAGGCGGUUUACUGGACUAGACCUGACACUGAGGCGCGAAAGCGAGGGGAGCAAACGG
rnacentral:rRNA from 1 species